rnacentral:rRNA from 1 species
UACGUAGGGUGCAAGCGUUGUCCGGAAUUAUUGGGCGUAAAGAGCUCGUAGGCGGUCUGUCGCGUCUGCUGUGAAAACUCGGGGCUUAACCCCGGGCCUGCAGUGGGUACGGGCAGACUAGAGUGCGGUAGGGGAGACUGGAAUUCCUGGUGUAGCGGUGAAAUGCGCAGAUAUCAGGAGGAACACCGGUGGCGAAGGCGGUUCUCUGGGCUGACACUGACGCUCAUGCACGAAAGCGUGGGGAGCAAACAGG